UUUCAUGUAUCGUAGUCUCGCUGCUCUCGCCUGUCGCGCGCCAGGUGAUCGACGCUCUUCUCGUCUGCGCCAAGUCCCCGAAGCAUAAACUAUUUAUGGCCAAACCCUAGAAAACCGGACCGUAGAACAAAGCCCUAGUUUCCCUGAAUCUACCUCAACACCUCAAGUCACUGCACCGACCACAGCCUCUAUCAGCGCAUCCAUUCGCAAGCUCAUGCAAUCCAAUCAGGCCAUGGAAGCUAAUCAGGUUGAGCCUCAGCCAAGCCGGUUUCAGCGCACCGAUCAGUGGAUUCCAGUAUAUUCCUGGUUAGAAUCAUUGGAAAAAAAGGAGGUAGUUAAAUCUAAAGAAAUUGAUGAAUGGCUAUCAAAGAAUCCAAAGGUCAAGGAGCAGUUGUACGCAAGACAUUCCCGUUAUCAUUUGAUGCACUAUGUCCAGAAAUGCCAUUUAAAGAUGUUGAGGAGACGGGAGAAGCAGGGAAUCCAAUUCUCAGCCCCAACAUCUCAAGCAAAGGUUCAAGUUCAGAACAAUGUGGUGACAACAGCAGCAGUUCCUCUUUUAUGCAGCUCUUCAAGCAACCAAUUGAUAGAUAAGGACAAAUGUUUAGCUAGGAGAAAUGAAGCCUUUCGUAAAUAUGAACUUUUGACAGAGUUGGAGAGCCAUCUGUCCAGCAUCCUUUCUAAACAGAAACAUGUAAAUGUGAAAGAGAUGGGUUCCCAAUCCUUGCAUAGACAAGGAUCUGCUGAUGAUACAAAACAGGGAGACAAUGUCAGGCAUAUGUCCAGUGACAGCAGAGUUGAGGCUUCAAUCGCCAUUUGAUUCCCGCAUGGAAUUAUUCUGAAGCAUCAUCUGGUGAUAUCUGUUUCUUUUAGAAGCUGUGGUGCAUAUUCCCAUGCUUCAAUUACAUCAAGAAAUAUGUUGGUGUCGGAUACACGACUCUUGCCAAUGAAUCAUGGCCAGAUGCCUAUAGGAAAACCUACCCCUGUGAAUGAGAUGUGUAAUAUGAGGCCUUGGCACUGUUUGAGCCAUGGGAAGCAAAUGCUUACUGCAGAACAUACAGAUCAACUUCCAGGCUCAGGUUCCCAUUUAUAGCAUAGAUGAGGUCGAACAGGUGCAAGUAAAGGAAGGGAUCGCUCAUCAAGGGACACAAGGAGAUGAGUGAAUUCAGCCUCAGCAUCUGCCAAUGCCUGAUGCAGGCGUGCUCUUGAAAUAUUUGCACUAUCUACUUUUCUCCUAUAGACAUCUAGACACUCCUGCUCCAGUUCCAUGAGAGCCUUCUCCCUUUCAUAUUCAUGUUGCCCAACUUCAUCCCAGAUUAGCUAUUACAAGGUGAAUAUUUGAAGAUAAAAGCAUAAAAUCCUAGUUAGUGAAUGGGUAAUGAUAUCGGAAUUGGGAAAAGAAAAACUCACUGGUCUGUCUGUGUGAACGAACCUGCAAUUCUUGAAGAAGAUACCCACAAGAGGUCUCCAGUAAGCUGGAGCUCCGCAUGUUUGCCGGCAUUUGAAAUGACCCCAUAUGACAGUGGUUGUAGUAUUUUGAUCAAUUCUUAACAACAGGUCUGAAUGUUUUUCAACUUGGGCUAGAGAAAGAGAAGUUCCAAGUGUCUUGGAAGAGAAUACUACCUUUGGUAGUAAAGAGAAAGGACAAGUGGACAGAACAAGGGCAGCAGGCGGAGGAGAAAACCAUGGAUUGUGGGACUUCUGACGGAAGUGAGUUUUCCUUAAAAGGCAAGGCAUACAACUUACAAGGUUGGUGGGUGAUGUUGAAGCUUUGGUUUCAAGUUUUGGCCCUUCAUAUUAUCCUCUUUUUUUCCUUUCUAUUCUUUUUGAAUUUGAAAUAUCUCCUAAUAAAGCUACUGUUCAAUAACGGCACACAAUUUUGCGUUA